UGGGGAAUAUUGCACAAUGGGCGAAAGCCUGAUGCAGCAACGCCGCGUGAGUGAUGAAGGUCUUCGGAUUGUAAAGCUCUGUCUUUUGGGACGAUAAUGACGGUACCAAAGGAGGAAGCCACGGCUAACUACGUGCCAGCAGCCGCGGUAAUACGUAGGUGGCGAGCGUUGUCCGGAUUUACUGGGCGUAAAGGGUGCGUAGGCGGAUGUUUAAGUGAGAUGUGAAAUACCCGGGCUUAACUUGGGUGCUGCAUUUCAAACUGGAUAUCUAGAGUGCAGGAGAGGAGAAUGGAAUUCCUAGUGUAGCGGUGAAAUGCGUAGAGAUUAGGAGGAACACCAGUGGCGAAGGCGAUUCUCUGGACUGUAACUGACGCUGAGGCACGAAAGCGUGGGUAGCAAACAGGAUUAGAUACCCUGGUAGUCCGCGCCGUAAACGAUGAGUACUAGGUGUAGGAGGUAUCGACCCCUUCUGUGCCGCAGUAAACACAUUAAGUACUCCGCCUGGGAAGUACGAUCGCAAGAUUAAAAC
rnacentral:rRNA from 1 species